GCACAAGCGGUGGAGCAUGUGGUUUAAUUCGACGCGACGCGAAGAACCUUACCUGGGCUUGACAUGUGAGUGACCGGCGUGGAAACACGCCUUCCCUUCGGGGCACUUUCACAGGUGGUGCAUGGCUGUCGUCAGCUCGUGUCGUGAGAUGUUGGGUUAAGUCCCGCAACGAGCGCAACCCCCGUCGCAUGUUGCCAGCAUUUAGUUGGGGACUCAUGCGAGACUGCCGGUGACAAACCGGAGGAAGGUGGGGAUGACGUCAAGUCCUCAUGCCCCUUAUGUUCAGGGCUACACACGUGCUACAUUGGCGCAUACAGAGGGCUGCGAUACCGCGAGGUGGAGCGAAUCCCUUAAAGUGCGUCUCGGUUCGGAUUGCAGGCUGAAAUUCGCCUGCAUGAAGGCGGAGUUGCUAGUAAUCGCGGAUCAGCAUUGCCGCGGUGAAUACGUUCCCGGGC
rnacentral:rRNA from 1 species